rnacentral:tRNA from 1 species
CGGAGGUAGGCAUAGUGAUGAUGCCGAGA